UUUUGUAACUUAUUUCUGUUCUUCCUGAUAGAAAACACCUUCCUCAGAUCAAGACAGGGAGCUGCAAAAACAGCCUCAUGUCUCAGGCCCCUGUCGCAAGCGCCACGUCUCCUAUUCUAGUUCAUCAGAGGAUGAGAACAAAGAAAGGGAGAAAAGAAGUAAACUGAGAGCGCAGCAUUCUACCAGAAUGAAGCCAAGGAAGUUGUUCAAGUCCUUCACUGAGGUGUCUGCAGUGAAGGAAGUGGAUGAAAUAAGGACCCACACGAGCUCCACAUCCUGUCAGGCUGAAGAAGCAGAUGGAGAUGUUGAUUAUGACGAUAACGCAGAGCCAUUAGAAGAUGCAGGACAACCAAAUAAACUCUGUCAGCAGUUCAACUUUGAUCUGAAAAAAAAAUUCCAGAAUCGUUACGAGAUGAUGGAUGCUUACAACAAGCAGUCUCUGAAAACAGUGCAGCAGUAUGUCUGUGCCAUCAAUCUGCAAGUUACCAAAUACAGGACACAGAGGCUUGAGCAGGUUCAGAAAGUUCUCCUGGAAGAAAUCCAUAAAUUGGAGCAGGAUGACACGGAGCUGAAAAGCAUGGAGAAAGAGCUAACAAUGCACUGGAAGAAGCAGACCUCACAUUUCCAUGCCCAUCAGAAGCAGGAAACCAUCAGAAACGAAACCCUGAAAAGAACCCUGGAGAGUUACAUGUGUCACAACUUUGAGCAUGAGGAGAGAUUAUUCACAUCCCAGGUCUCUCCCUUAGCCAUUAGCAUUAGCAUGUGUUGCCAUAUUUUAACAGUAAAUAUGAAACUUAUGACGUGUUAUUGUUAGGGGCCAUAACAUGCACUACGUUCACAUUUCAGGUCUUAAUGCACAAUUUAUAUUUUUUUGUGUGAUCGUUCAUAUUACAUACAGUAUUAAAUGUGUCUUCAAACAGUUUGGAGUAUGAAUGGAGAUUAGGUCCUAAGGUAACACGUGACCCC
rnacentral:lncRNA from 1 species